rnacentral:rRNA from 1 species
GACGAACGCUGGCGGCGUGCUUAACACAUGCAAGUCGAACGGAAAGGCCUGCUUUCCCUUGUGGAUUGCGGAUACUCGAGUGGCGAACGGGUGAGUAACACGUGAGUGAUCUGCCCCCAACUUGGGUAUAAGCCUGGGAAACUGGGUCUAAUUCCCGAUAGGACUGCAGGGUGGUGCCUGUGGUGGAAAACGAUUUUCUAGUGGUUGGGGAUGAGCUCGCGGCCUAUCAGCUUGUUGGUGGGGUAAUGGCCUACCAAGGCGGCGACGGGUAGCCGGCCUGAGAGGGUGGACGGCCACAUUGGGACUGAGAUACGGCCCAGACUCCUACGGGAGGCAGCAGGGGGGAAUAUUGCACAAUGGGCGGAAGCCUGAUGCAGCGACGCCGCGUGGGGGAUGACGGCCUUCGGGUUGUAAACUCCUUUCGACCGCGAGGAAGCCACCUGGUUGGAAGGGUGGUGACGGUAGUGGUAGAAGAAGCACCGGCUAACUACGUG